GGAGGAGUGAGAACAUUCACAGACCCAGCAGUAAUUAUCCACUAAUUUGGCCUGUUUGUGUGGGGACAGCUCAUUAUAGCCCUUAAGAAACCUCAGAAUAAAGAGAGAAAGUAGGUAGGAGGACCCAGAAGAUUUCUGAAGAAAAUAUGUACACCUGGAGUCUCCUAGGAAAUUAACUUCAUCCAAAUAGUAGACACAGUUGUUGGGAAGACUCUUGGAAGUUACAAUAACCAAACAUGCAAGGAACAGUGUCUUAAGAGGAAAUUGAGUUCCACUGAAUUACAUAGCAGAUGACCAGAGAGUGCUGAGUUCUUUGCUAUAGAAGACAAGAGGACUGAAAACAAAAUGUUCUCCAAAUAUAUGAAGUAUUGAAUGUCAGAGCUGCAACAUUCAAAAAAAACCCAACAAAACCAAAAAUCUUCAGAGUCCAGAAAAUACUCACCCAAUUUGUAGUACAGAAAAAGCCGCAGAAAUGGAUACAAAACCAGUGUGUUUACAUUUGAAGGCAGAAUUCUCCUCUAGCAGGUAAAUUAAAAUGCUGCUGUCAAGAGCUGAAAUAAGACCUACCAACAGGAGAGGAAACAGAUAACAAGUAAAUGGACAAUUUGACUUGUUGAU